rnacentral:lncRNA from 1 species
CACUGAUAUACGCACAGUGGCUCAAGGACGAUUGUUUCUGGAGCUUUAGGGACGCCGCAGGUACACACUUGCUACAGUUACCUCAGCGGACAGUUACAGAUCUUCAGGGCGAGCUCGCUAGAUUUGAGUCCCAUGUCCCGAGCUGCCAGAGCAGCCGCACAGCCCCAGCCAGAGAUCCCUGACUUUCCACACAUCCCAUACAUUCCCAUGCGCGAUCAUGGCGACUUCCAGUGCGUUGUUGUGGACGC